GUUGAACGCUGGCGGCAGGCCUAACACAUGCAAGUCGAACGAGAGAGAGGAAGCUUGCUUCCUUAAUCGAGUGGCGAACGGGUGAGUAACGCGUGAGGAACCUGCCUCAAAGAGGGGGACAACAGUUGGAAACGACUGCUAAUACCGCAUAAGCCCACAGCUCGGCAUCGAGCAGAGGGAAAAGGAGUGAUCCGCUUUGAGAUGGCCUCGCGUCCGAUUAGCUGGUUGGUGAGGUAACGGCCCACCAAGGCGACGAUCGGUAGCCGGACUGAGAGGUUGAACGGCCACAUUGGGACUGAGACACGGCCCAG
rnacentral:rRNA from 1 species